rnacentral:rRNA from 1 species
GAUGAACGCUAGCGGCAGGCCUAAUACAUGCAAGCCGGACGGCAAGUUGAGUAGCAAUACUUGACCUAGAGUGGCGUAAGGGUGCGUAACACGUAUGCAAUCUGCCCACGGCCGGGAGAUAGCCCUCCGAAAGGAGGAUUAAUAUCCCAUAGGAAGAUGAGAUGGCAUCAUUUUAUUUUUAAACUACGGGGCUGUGGAUGAGCAUGCGGUUGAUUAGCUAGUUGGCGGGGUAAAGGCCACCAAGGCGAUGAUCAAUAGGGGACCUGAGAGGGUGAUCCCCACACUGGCACUGAGAUACGGGCCAGACUCCUACGGGAGGCAGCAGUAGGGAAUAUUGGACAAUGGGUGUAAGCCUGAUCCAGCCAUGCCGCGUGCAGGAAAGAAGGCCUUCUGGGUUGUAAACUGCUUUGCCGGGGGAUAAAAGAUCCAUGCGUGGAGAAUUGAAGGUACCCGGUGAAUAAGCCACGGCUAACUACGUGCCAGCAGCCGCGGU